rnacentral:rRNA from 1 species
UGCCUUACACAUGCAAGUCGAACGGUAACAGGUCUUCAGAUGCUGACGAGUGGCGAACGGGUGAGUAAUACAUCGGAACGUGCCCGAUCGUGGGGGAUAACGAAGCGAAAGCUUUGCUAAUACCGCAUAAGAUCCAAGGAUGAAAGCAGGGGACCGCAAGGCCUUGCGCGAACGGAGCGGCCGAUGGCAGAUUAGGUAGUUGGUGGGAUAAAAGCUUACCAAGCCGACGAUCUGUAGCUGGUCUGAGAGGACGACCAGCCACACUGGGACUGAGACACGGCCCAGACUCCUACGGGAGGCAGCAGUGGGGAAUUUUGGACAAUGGGCGAAAGCCUGAUCCAGCCAUGCCGCGUGCAGGAUGAAGGCCUUCGGGUUGUAAACAGC